GUCGAACACGCUGGGGUGAGCAUCCGUGUCCAGCUGGAUCAAGAUUUUCGGCUUGCUCAUGACCGGGCCACCACAUCGCCCACUGAAU
rnacentral:misc_RNA from 1 species